AGUUAUUUAGCUUAUAUUUAAAAGUUUAUAUUUUGAAAAUAUAAGAAAGAGAAAUUUAAUAACUU
rnacentral:tRNA from 1 species